GCCACCGACAUAAGCGCUUCUUCUGCUGACAAUUGCAUUCACUGCUUGAUACGCCAGCAGUGCAGAGGAAAGGCCGCGCGCACGUAUAUUUUCAUCAGCCAUUAGGAGAAGGAAGAAGCCGAGCUGCGGGUGUUCGCAUCUUUUUCUACGUUGCGAGUCUGUCGCUAUCGCGUGCAAGGGGAUACCGUUAUUUCUAUGGAUAUGUAUUAUAUCGAUAAGUAUAGCGAAAAUCCUCACUAUCGAUCCAUCGUAAAGUUUGAUCUUUUCUCGAAAUUAGUCAACAGGGCCGAAUAAAAGCACUUUUUCUAUGGGUUCUAUGAUAGGAUGAAUAACAUAUGCACAGUUUGACGCUGCAAGAGAUCCGCCGUACGGCGAGGAAGAGACGCAAAUAAAGAUACACUGACCCGCAAAAUGAAGCAAAGAGAGAGAGAGAGAGAGAGAGAGAGAGAGAGAGAGAGAGAGAGAGCCGACGGACGAAGGAGUACAGAGUACAUGCUGGCGUCACGCAGUCGGGUUCCGACCGUGACAAGCAAGUGCGGGAAUAUCCAGAGGCGAGAAACGCGUAGCAUUGGAUAUUUAAAAAUGUCGAUAUACCUGUUUAAUCUUUGCAGCAAUGAUAUUCAUAAACUUGAAAAACAAUCGUGAUAAAAGGCAUCAGACGAGAUGAAAAAAAGCAAAAGGCGGUGUGGGACAGUGUGUCAAUAGGUUAUUGUAAUAAAUAAAACAUCUCCAAUAAUUUAUUACCUGCA